rnacentral:ncRNA from 1 species
UUUCCCUCAGGAUAGCUGGAGCUCUUGCUGAGUUUUAUCGGGUAAAGCGAAUGAUUAGAGGCAUCGGGGGUGAAACACCCUUGACCUAUUCUCAAACUUUAAAUAGGUAAAGCAGCCGGGGUUGCUCUGUUGAGCCCCGGCCGUGAAUGCGAGCUCCAAGUGGGCCAUUUUUGGUUAAGCAGAUCGACUAGGCCGUUUUCGG